ACGCUGGCGGCGUGCUUAACACAUGCAAGUCGAACGGAAAGGCCCUGCUUUUGUGGGGUGCUCGAGUGGCGAACGGGUGAGUAACACGUGAGUAACCUGCCCUUGACUUUGGGAUAACUUCAGGAAACUGGGGCUAAUACCGGAUAGGAGCUCCUGCUGCAUGGUGGGGGUUGGAAAGUUUCGGCGGUUGGGGAUGGACUCGCGGCUUAUCAGCUUGUUGGUGGGGUAGUGGCUUACCAAGGCUUUGGCGGGUAGCCGGCCUGAGAGGGUGACCGGCCACAUUGGGACUGAGAUACGGCCCAGACUCCUACGGGAGGCAGCAGUGGGGAAUAUUGCACAAUGGGCGGAAGCCUGAUGCAGCAACGCCGCGUGCGGGAUGACGGCCUUCGGGUUGUAAACCGCUUUCGCCUGUGACGAAGCGUGAGUGACGGUAAGGGGUAAAGAAGCACCGGCUAACUACGUGCCAGCAGCCGCGGUGAUACGUAGGGUGCGAGCGUUGUCCGGAUUUAUUGGGCGUAAAGGGCUCGUAGGUGGUUGAUCGCGUCGGAAGUGUAAUCUUGGGGCUUAACCCUGAGCGUGCUUUCGAUACGGGUUGACUUGAGGAAGGUAGGGGAGAAUGGAAUUCCUGGUGGAGCGGUGGAAUGCGCAGAUAUCAGGAGGAACACCAGUGGCGAAGGCGGUUCUCUGGGCCUUUCCUGACGCUGAGGAGCGAAAGCGUGGGGAGCGAACAGGCUUAGAUACCCUGGUAGUCCACGCUGUAAACGGUGGGUACUAGGUGUGGGGUCCAUUCCACGGGUUCCGUGCCGUAGCUAACGCUUUAAGUACCCCGCCUGGGGAGUACGGCCGCAAGGCUAAAACUCAAAGGAAUUGACGGGGCCCCGCACAAGCGGCGGAGCAUGCGGAUUAAUUCGAUGCAACGCGUAGAACCUUACCUGGGUUUGACAUGGAUCGGGAGUGCUCAGAGAUGGGUGUGCCUCUUUUGGGGUCGGUUCACAGGUGGUGCAUGCCUGUCGUCAGCUCGUGUCGUGAGAUGUUGGGUUAAGUCCCACAACGAGCGCAACCCUUGUUCACUGUUGCCAGCACGUUAUGGUGGGGACUCAGUGGAGACCGCCGGGGUCAACUCGGAGGAAGGUGGGGAUGACGUCAAGUCCUCAUGCCCCUUAUGUCCAGGGCUUCACGCAUGCUACAAUGGCUGGUACAGAGAGUGGCGAGCCUGUGAGGGUGAGCGAAUCUCGGAAAGCCGGUCUCAGUUCGGAUUGGGGUCUGCAACUCGACCUCAUGAAGUCGGAGUCGCUAGUAAUCGCAGAUCAGCAACGCUGCGGUGAAUACGUUCCCGGGGCUUGUACACACCGCCCGUCAAGUCAUGAAAGUUGGUAACACCCGAAGCCGGAGGCCUAACCGUUGUGGGGGAGCCGUCGAAGGUGGGACUGGU
rnacentral:rRNA from 1 species